ACAUCCAGAGAACUUAGCAGAGAUGCUUUGGUGCCUUCGGGAACUCUGGGACAGGUGCUGCAUGGCUGUCGUCAGCUCGUGUUGUGAAAUGUUGGGUUAAGUCCCGCAACGAGCGCAACCCUUAUCCUUUGUUGCCAGCGGCUCGGCCGGGAACUCAAAGGAGACUGCCGGUGAUAAACCGGAGGAAGGUGGGGAUGACGUCAAGUCAUCAUGGCCCUUACGGCCAGGGCUACACACGUGCUACAAUGGCGCAUACAAAGAGAAGCGACCUCGCGAGAGCAAGCGGACCUCACAAAGUGCGUCGUAGUCCGGAUUGGAGUCUGCAACUCGACUCCAUGAAGUCGGAAUCGCUAGUAAUCGUAGAUCAGAAUGCUACGGUGAAUACGUUCCCGGGCCUUGUACACACCGCCCGUCACACCAUGGGAGUGGGUUGCAAAAGAAGUAGGUAGCUUAACCUUCGGGAGGGCGCUUACCACUUUGUGAUUCAUGACUGGGGUGAAGUCGUAACAAGGUAGGCGUAGCGAG
rnacentral:rRNA from 1 species